CCUACGGGUGGCAGCAGUGAGGAAUAUUGGUCAAUGGACGAGAGCCUGAACCAGCCAAGUAGCGUGAAGGAUGACUGCCCUAUGGGUUGUAAACUUCUUUUAUAUGGGAAUAAUAUGUUCCACGUGUGGGAUUUUGUAUGUACCAUAUGAAUAAGGAUCGGCUAACUCCGUGCCAGCAGCCGCGGUAAUACCGAGGAUUCGAGCGUUAUCCGGAUUUAUGGGGUUUAAAGGGAGCGUAGGUGGAAUGUUAAGUCAGUCGUGAAAGUUUGCGGCUCAACCGUAAAAGUGCAGUUGAAACUGGCAGUCUUGAGUACAGUAGAGGUAGGCGGAAUGCGUGGUGUAGCGGUGAAAUGCAUAGAUAUCACGAAGAACUCCGAUUGCGAAGGCAGCUCACUGGACUGCAACUGACACUGAAGCUCGAAAGUAUGGGUAUCAAACAGGAUUAGAUACCCCAGUAGUC
rnacentral:rRNA from 1 species